rnacentral:rRNA from 1 species
GACGAACGCUGGCGGCGUGCCUAACACAUGCAAGUUGAGCGACGAACCAGGGCUUGCCCUGGGGCAAAGCAGCGAACGGGUGAGUAACACGUGGGUAACCUACCCCGAUAACCGGGACAACCCGAGGAAACUCGGGCUAAUACCGGAUGUGCUCACUGGACUUCGGUUCAGUGCGUAAAGGAAGCUUCGGCCUCCGUAUCGGGAGGGGCCCGCGGCCCAUUAGUUUGUUGGUGAGGUAACGGCUCACCAAGACCGCGAUGGGUAGCUGGUCUGAGAGGACGAUCAGCCACACUGGGACUGAGACACGGCCCAGACUCCUACGGGAGGCAGCAGUGGGGAAUCUUGCGCAAUGGGCGAAAGCGUGACGCAGCAACGCCGCGUGGGGGAAGAAGGCCUUCGGGUUGUAAAGCCCUUUCAGGAGGGACGAAGGUUCGGCGGUGAAUAGCCGGCCGGACUGACGGUACCUCCACAAGAAGCCCCGGCUAACUACGUG